GCCAGGCAUGGUGGCGCAUGCCUGUAAUCCCAGCUACUCGGGAGGCUGAGGUAGGAGAAUUGCUUGAACCCGGGAGGUGGAGGUGGCUGUUGCAGUGAGCCAAGAUCGCAUCACUGCACUCCAGCCUGGGUGACAGAGCGAGACUCUGUCUCAA
rfam:Homo sapiens chromosome 10, GRCh38 reference primary assembly.